AUUUUUAGGAUUCUUUUUCCUCAUGUGGAACCCAAACCAAGGACCCCCUGGUAUGCAGCCUACAUACCCAGCUCCUGGGUGUGCCCCUCCCCCUGGGUACUAUCCAGGGCAGUGCCCCCCAAGAUAUGUUGCUCCUGCUCCACCCCCUCCUACAAUAGUAAUCCAGAAUCCUUGCUCAUGUGGAAAUCAUGGCUGUAAUGGGCACCAUCCCCAUCCCCAUCAUCAUGGAAUAUUUGGUCAUCAUCAUCACCAUCAUCAUGGCCAUCAUCACCACUAGAACUUUCAAGACAAACAAACAUCGGCAGAGAUCAGUGCCACACUUUCACACAAUGUCAUCUAUUUGAAGAUGCCUCCUAAUGUAAUGAAGAAAGCGGACCAAGAAUGAAUAUAUAUAUAUAUAUAUUUACAAUGUAUUAAAAAAUUGCAAUAAAGUGAUUCGAUAUCUUAAA